GACGAACGCUGGCGGCGUGCUUAACACAUGCAAGUCGAACGGAAAGGCCCUGCUUUUGUGGGGUGCUCGAGUGGCGAACGGGUGAGUAACACGUGAGUAACCUGCCCUUGACUUUGGGAUAACUUCAGGAAACUGGGGCUAAUACCGGAUAGGAGCUCCUGCUGCAUGGUGGGGGUUGGAAAGUUUCGGCGGUUGGGGAUGGACUCGCGGCUUAUCAGCUUGUUGGUGGGGUAGUGGCUUACCAAGGCUUUGACGGGUAGCCGGCCUGAGAGGGUGACCGGCCACAUUGGGACUGAGAUACGGCCCAGACUCCUACGGGAGGCAGCAGUGGGGAAUAUUGCACAAUGGGCGGAAGCCUGAUGCAGCAACGCCGCGUGCGGGAUGACGGCCUUCGGGUUGUAAACCGCUUUCGCCUGUGACGAAGCGUGAGUGACGGUAAUGGGUAAAGAAGCACCGGCUAACUACGUGCCAGCAGCCGCGGUGAUACGUAGGGUGCGAGCGUUGUCCGGAUUUAUUGGGCGUAAAGGGCUCGUAGGUGGUUGAUCGCGUCGGAAGUGUAAUCUUGGGGCUUAACCCUGAGCGUGCUUUCGAUACGGGUUGACUUGAGGAAGGUAGGGGAGAAUGGAAUUCCUGGUGGAGCGGUGGAAUGCGCAGAUAUCAGGAGGAACACCAGUGGCGAAGGCGGUUCUCUGGGCCUUUCCUGACGCUGAGGAGCGAAAGCGUGGGGAGCGAACAGGCUUAGAUACCCUGGUAGUCCACGCUGUAAACGGUGGGUACUAGGUGUGGGGUCCAUUCCACGGGUUCCGUGCCGUAGCUAGCGCUUUAAGUACCCCGCCUGGGGAGUACGGCCGCAAGGCUAAAACUCAAAGGAAUUGACGGGGCCCCGCACAAGCGGCGGAGCAUGCAGAUUAAUUCGAUGCAACGCGUAGAACCUUACCUGGGUUUGACAUGGAUCGGGAGUGCUCAGAGAUGGGUGUGCCUCUUUUGGGGUCGGUUCACAGGUGGUGCAUGGCUGUCGUCAGCUCGUGUCGUGAGAUGUUGGGUUAAGUCCCGCAACGAGCGCAACCCUUGUUCACUGUUGCCAGCACGUUAUGGUGGGGACUCAGUGGAGACCGCCGGGGUCAACUCGGAGGAAGGUGGGGAUGACGUCAAGUCAUCAUGCCCCUUAUGUCCAGGGCUUCACGCAUGCUACAAUGGCUGGUACAGAGAGUGGCGAGCCUGUGAGGGUGAGCGAAUCUCGGAAAGCCGGUCUCAGUUCGGAUUGGGGUCUGCAACUCGACCUCAUGAAGUCGGAGUCGCUAGUAAUCGCAGAUCAGCAACGCUGCGGUGAAUACGUUCCCGGG
rnacentral:rRNA from 1 species